rnacentral:rRNA from 1 species
GCAUAUCAAUAAGCGGAGGAAAAGAAACCACCAGGGAUUGCCCCAGUAACGGCGAGUGAAGCGGCAACAGCUCAAAUUUGAAAUCUGGUCCCUAGGGCCCGAGUUGUAAUUUGUAGAGGAUGCUUUUGGUGAGGUGCCGCCCGAGUUCCCUGGAACGGGACGCCACAGAGGGUGAGAGCCCCGUCUGGCUGGCCGCCGAGCCUCUGUAAAGCUCCUUCGACGAGUCGAGUAGUUUGGGAAUGCUGCUCAAAAUGGGAGGUAUAUGUCUUCUAAAGCUAAAUAUUGGCCAGAGACCGAUAGCGCACAAGUAGAGUGAUCGAAAGAUGAAAAGCACCUUGAAAAGAGGGUUAAAUAGUACGUGAAAUUGUUGAAAGGGAAGCGCUUGUGACCAGACUUGGGCGCGGCGGAUCAUCCGGGGUUCUCUCCGGUGCACUUCGCCGCGUCUAGGCCAGCAUCAGUUCGUCGCGGGGGAAAAAGGCUUCGGGAACGUGGCUCCUCCGGGAGUGUUAUAGCCCGUUGCAUAAUACCCUGCGGUGGACUGAGGACCGCGCAUCUGCAAGGAUGCUGGCGUAAUGGUCACCAGCGACCCGUCUUGAAACACGGACCAAGGAGUCGUCUUCGUAUGCGAGUGUUCGGGUGUCAAACCCCUACGCGUAAUGAAAGUGAACGCAGGUGAGAGCUUCGGCGCAUCAUCGACCGAUCCUGAUGUUCUCGGAUGGAUUUGAGUAAGAGCAUACGGGGCCGGACCCGAAAGAAGGUGAACUAUGCCUGUAUAGGGUGAAGCCAGAGGAAACUCUGGUGGAGGCUCGCAGCGGUUCUGACGUGCAAAUCGAUCGUCAAAUAUGGGCAUGGGGCGAAAGACUAAUCGAACCUUCUAGUAGCUGGUUUCCGC